rnacentral:rRNA from 1 species
AACGAACGCUGGCGGCAUGCCUAACACAUGCAAGUCGAACGAGAUCUUCGGGUCUAGUGGCGCACGGGUGCGUAACGCGUGGGAAUCUGCCCUUUGGUUCGGAAUAACAGUUGGAAACGACUGCUAAUACCGGAUGAUGACGAAAGUCCAAAGAUUUAUCGCCAGAGGAUGAGCCCGCGUAGGAUUAGAUAGUUGGUGUGGUAAAGGCGCACCUAGGCGACGAUCCUUAGCUGGUCUGAGAGGAUGAUCAGCCACACUGGGACUGAGACACGGCCCAGACUCCUACGGGAGGCAGCAGUGGGGAAUAUUGGACAAUGGGCGAAAGCCUGAUCCAGCAAUGCCGCGUGAGUGAUGAAGGCCUUAGGGUUGUAAAGCUCUUUUACCCGGGAUGAUAAUGACAGUACCGGGAGAAUAAGCUCCGGCUAACUCCGUGCCAGCCGCCGCAGUAA